GAUGAACGCUGGCGGCGUGCUUAACACAUGCAAGUCGAACGGUGAAGCAGAUCUUUCUCUGUGGAUCAGUGGCGAACGGGUGAGUAACACGUGAGCAACCUGCCCCUGACUCUGUGUUAAGCGCUGGAAACGGCGUCUAAUACUUGAUAUGAGCUUCGACCGCAUUGUCUGCUGUUGGAAAGAUUUUUCGGUCUGGGUUGGUCUCACGCCCUAUCAGCUUGUUUGUUAGGUAAUGGCUCACCAAGGCGUCGACGGGUAUCCGGCCUGAGAGGGUGACCGGCCACACUGGGACUGAGACACGGACCAGAAUCCUACGGGAGGCAGCAGUGGGGAAUAUUGCACAAUGGGCGAAAGCCUGAUGCAGCAACGCCGCGUGAGGGAUGACGGCCUUCGGGGUGUAAACAACAUUUAGCAGGGAAGAAGAGAAAGUGACGGUACCGGCAGAAAAAGCGACGGCUAACUACGUG
rnacentral:rRNA from 1 species